rnacentral:rRNA from 1 species
UACGUAGGGUGCAAGCGUUAAUCGGAAUUACUGGGCGUAAAGCGUGCGCAGGCGGUUUUGUAAGUCAGAUGUGAAAUCCCUCGGCUUAACCGGGGAACUGCAUCUGAUACUGGAUGGCUUGAGUUCGGGAGAGGGAUGCGGAAUUCCAGGUGUAGCGGUGAAAUGCGUAGAUAUCUGGAGGAACACCGGUGGCGAAGGCGGCAUCCUGGACCGACACUGACGCUGAGGAGCGAAAGCCAGGGGAGCAAACGGG